rnacentral:rRNA from 1 species
UACGAGUGCCCCGAGCGUUAUCCGGAAUCAUUGGGCGUAAAGGGUGUGUAGGUGGUCAUGUUAGUCUUCUGUUAAAUUCUUCGGCUUAACCGGGGGCAUGCAGGGGAAACGGCAUGACUAGAGGAUGCGAGAGGUGUGUGGAACUCUAAGUGUAGGGGUGAAAUCCGUUGAUAUUUAGGGGAACACCAAAAGCGAAGGCAGCACACUGGCGCAUUCCUGACACUGAGACACUAAAGCGUGGGUAGCGAAUGGG